rnacentral:rRNA from 1 species
AGUGAACGCUGGCGGUAGGCCUAACACAUGCAAGUCGAACGGCAGCACAGUAAGAGCUUGCUCUUACGGGUGGCGAGUGGCGGACGGGUGAGGAAUACAUCGGAAUCUACUUUUUCGUGGGGGAUAACGUAGGGAAACUUACGCUAAUACCGCAUACGACCUACGGGUGAAAGCAGGGGAUCUUCGGACCUUGCGCGAUUGAAUGAGCCGAUGUCGGAUUAGCUAGUUGGCGGGGUAAAGGCCCACCAAGGCGACGAUCCGUAGCUGGUCUGAGAGGAUGAUCAGCCACACUGGAACUGAGACACGGUCCAGACUCCUACGGGAGGCAGCAGUGGGGAAUAUUGGACAAUGGGCGCAAGCCUGAUCCAGCCAUACCGCGUGGGUGAAGAAGGCCUUCGGGUUGUAAAGCCCUUUUGUUGGGAAAGAAAAGCAGCAGGUUAAUACCCCGCUGUUCUGACGGUACCCAAAGAAUGAGUACCGGCUAACUUCGUG